GUUCUUGCGCAAAACUCUGGUUUUGACCUUCAGGAAACAUUAGUUAAAGUUCAAGCUGAGCAUUCAGAAUCCGGUCAGCUCGUAGGUGUGGAUCUGAGCACAGGUGAGCCGAUGGUGGCAGCAGAAAUGGGUGUGUGGGAUAACUACUGCGUGAAGAAGCAGCUGCUGCACUCCUGUACUGUGAUCGCCACCAACAUUCUCCUGGUCGACGAGAUCAUGAGAGCCGGGAUGUCCUCUCUGAAGGGUUGAAGAAGUCUGCCUGUGAUGCUACAGAAUUUUGGGGGGAAAUGGUUAUUUUUGUCCAAGCUUCAAGUGAUUUGGAAGAUAAUUUUCUCUUCCUGAUUGAAGGAAAGGAACAGGACAUUUGGCACCU
ensembl:processed_transcript